rnacentral:rRNA from 1 species
GCAAGUCGAACGAUGAAGCCCUUCGGGGUGGAUUAGUGGCGAACGGGUGAGUAACACGUGGGCAAUCUGCCCUGCACUCUGGGACAAGCCCUGGAAACGGGGUCUAAUACCGGAUAUCACUCUUGCAGGCAUCUGUGAGGGUCGAAAGCUCCGGCGGUGCAGGAUGAGCCCGCGGCCUAUCAGCUUGUUGGUGAGGUAAUGGCUCACCAAGGCGACGACGGGUAGCCGGCCUGAGAGGGCGACCGGCCACACUGGGACUGAGACACGGCCCAGACUCCUACGGGAGGCAGCAGUGGGGAAUAUUGCACAAUGGGCGAAAGCCUGAUGCAGCGACGCCGCGUGAGGGAUGACGGCCUUCGGGUUGUAAACCUCUUUCAGCAGGGAAGAAGCGAAAGUGACGGUACCUGCAGAAGAAGCGCCGGCUAACUACGUGCCAGCAGCCGCGGUAAUACGUAGGGCGCAAGCGUUGUCCGGAAUUAUUGGGCGUAAAGAGCUCGUAGGCGGCUUGUCACGUCGGGUGUGAAAGCCCGGGGCUUAACCCCGGGUCUGCAUUCGAUACGGGCUAGCUAGAGUGUGGUAGGGGAGAUCGGAAUUCCUGGUGUAGCGGUGAAAUGCGCAGAUAUCAGGAGGAACACCGGUGGCGAAGGCGGAUCUCUGGGCCAUUACUGACGCUGAGGAGCGAAAGCGUGGGGAGCGAACAGGAUUAGAUACCCUGGUAGUCCACGCCGUAAACGGUGGGAACUAGGUGUUGGCGACAUUCCACGUCGUCGGUGCCGCAGCUAACGCAUUAAGUUCCCCGCCUGGGGAGUACGGCCGCAA